rnacentral:rRNA from 1 species
UACAUAGGUGGCGAACGUUAUCCGGAAUUAUUGGGCGUAAAGGGUGCGUAGGUGGUUUAAUAAGUUACUGGUGGUAAAUCGGGGCUCAACCUCGUGGAAGUCAGUAAUACUAUUAGACUAGAGGACCGGAGGAGUUAACGGAAUGGCUCAUGUAGGGGUAAAAUCCGCAAAUAUGAGUUAGAACACCAAUUGGCGAAGGCAGUUAACUAUUCGGUUCCUGACGUUGAGGCACGAAAGCGUGGGGAGCGAACAGG